rnacentral:rRNA from 1 species
AUUGAACGCUGGCGGCAGGCCUAACACAUGCAAGUCGAACGGUAACAGGAAACAGCUUGCUGUUUCGCUGACGAGUGGCGGACGGGUGAGUAAUGUCUGGGAAACUGCCUGAUGGAGGGGGAUAACUACUGGAAACGGUAGCUAAUACCGCAUAACGUCGCAAGACCAAAGAGGGGGACCCUCGGGCCUCUUGCCAUCGGAUGUGCCCAGAUGGGAUUAGCUUGUUGGUGGGGUAACGGCUCACCAAGGCGACGAUCCCUAGCUGGUCUGAGAGGAUGACCAGCCACACUGGAACUGAGGCACGGUCCAGACUCCUACGGGAGGCAGCAGUGGGGAAUAUUGCACAAAGGGCGCAAGCCUGAUGCAGCCAUGCCGCGUGUAUGAAGAAGGCCUUCGGGUUGUAAAGUACUUUCAGCGGGGAGGAAGGGAGUAAAGUUAAUACCUUUGCUCAUUGACGUUACCCGCAGAAGAAGCACCGGCUAACUCCGUG